AAUUGCCCCCGCCAAAGCUCAAAGUGGCAGAAACCCUAGCCCUCAGCCGCCACACCGCUGACCCCUCCUCCCUCCUCCCUCCUCCCUCACUCCUCACCGCAGCCGUCGUGCCCCUCCCCACGUAGCCCCAGGACCUCCAUCUCCUCCAUGCGUCCUCGCUGCCGCCGCAGCCUCGGCGCACCCUCUCCUUCAACCCCAUGUGAAAUCGAGCAUCCUGGCGGUGCCUUGACUGAUGCACUGUGAUGGCUAGCGCAGGUGAGUGCCACGCAUGGUGCAGCAGGCUUGGCAGGCAGCGGGCGCGGCGGUCAAGGCCAAGGGCACGUCGAGCGACGAUGACCUCAUCCGCCACCAACAACGAGGUUCCAAAAUGUAUCGAAGAUUGCCGGGGAAUUGAUUACACCAUCUGUGGAAUAUGACAUCGCCCUUUAGGAUAAAGAAGUCUAAGCCUAAAGUCAUCAUGGUUGAGGUUGAUAGUAUAUCUGCUGGUGAUAGCGGUGGAGCUGCUGAUCUUAUUGCAAGAUUCCUAUAGUUUGCAUUUGUAAUGGCAGUUAUAGCAGGAAGCUGAAGAGCACUAUAAAUUACCUAUUUGGUACUCAACUUCAGGAAACCAACAAAGUAGCAGAUACAAGUCCGCUUGCAAUUUUUGGGAGAAUAAACAGUUCCUUUGGGUUCAUCGCUCGGUUUUGUCCCUGCUAUGCUUACUGCUCCUACAUGGCUCUUCAGGGUUAUGGAUGGAGUGCGUUAUUUCGACGGUCCUCUAUUUUUUUUGUUGCGUGUGCCUUCAGGUCCAUCAGGUAUAAGGCGAGUUGUGUCCCUGGUAGAGGUGCAGAUCAAGGAGGUCGACAAAUGGGAUGAUGUUGGGUGACGUUCACUAAGGAGGAAAAAGGUGUAGGGGUCGUUGUUUUUUUGGCGAUGGCAGCGGCAUACUUCCUUGAGCGAAGAAAGGAAUCCCCAGCCUGAAGCUUCGCACAGAUUUUGCCUAUUCUCUGAGAUGGAUGAUGAUGAGCGGUGCAACCGAAAAUUCAGAGCUGAGCUUUACACACUUCAGUGGGAGUGGCAUGACAACACCAAGGUAGAGACCUGAAGAGAAGCACAGGGACGGACCAAGGAAACUAGAACCACGCUGUCGUGAUGUGGGCCGUGUCGUCUUCGUCCAUCUCCAUGGAGGUAUAUAUAAAUAUAUAGGUUAGGUAUAGGAAAUGAGACCAUCUCCAUGGAACUCUGACUGAUGUGUAAUGUCCUCAUAGGACCUGACCGACCAAACUAAACAUUCACUCAUAGUUUUCAUUUUCUCACUUAUCAUCAAUACGAAUUUUUUUGUUUAAAACUUAAAAGUCAAACCUGGAUUUACCGCUUGUGUCUACUCCAGUGUGUUAUAUUCUUCAGAAUGUCUUUAUGAGCAAGAACGGAUCAAUCAUAAAUUUUCAGAACGUCUCUAUUGAGUUUUUUCCUUCUAUAUCCUAUCUUCUCAGCACUUCUAGAAAGAGAUUUGAAGCCUUAUUUGGGCGAGGAAGACGAGCUUUCAUCAAGGAUGACUUCAUUUCAAGAAGGGGAGGAUGAUGAGGACAUCAAUACCAUUGUUACACCCACAGCCCCUGCUGUUAUACAUACUGAACCAAUUACUAGAGCUCGCGCACACCAAUUGAAUUAUCAGGUAUUUUCGU